UACGGAGGGCGCGAGCGUUAAUCGGAAUUACUGGGCGUAAAGCGCGCGUAGGCUGUUGUGUAAGUUGGGGGUGAAAUCCCACGGCUCAACCGUGGAACAGCCCUUGAUACUGCGCGACUUGAAUCCGGGAGAGGGUGGCGGAAUUCCAGGUGUAGGAGUGAAAUCCGUAGAUAUCUGGAGGAACAUCAGUGGCGAAGGCGGCCACCUGGACCGGGUAUUGACGCUGAGGCGCGAAAGCGUGGGGGAGCAAACAGG
rnacentral:rRNA from 1 species